rnacentral:rRNA from 1 species
AUUGAACGCUGGCGGCAGGCCUAACACAUGCAAGUCGAGCGGAUGAAGGGAGCUUGCUCCUGGAUUCAGCGGCGGACGGGUGAGUAAUUCCUAGGAACCUGCCUGUUUGCUGGGUAUAACGUCCGGAAACGGGCGCUAAUACCGCAUACGUCCAGAGGACGAAAGUGGGGGAUCUUCGGACCUCACGCUAUCACAUGAGCCUAUGUCGGAUUAGCUAGUUGGUGGGGUAAAGGCCUACCAAGGCGACGAUCCGUAACUGGUCUGAGAGGAUGAUCAGUCACACUGGAACUGAGACACGGUCCAGACUCCUACGGGAGGCAGCAGUGGGGAAUAUUGGACAAUGGGCGAAAGCCUGAUCCAGCCAUGCCGCGUGUGUGAAGAAGGUCUUCGGAUUGUAAAGCCCUUUAAGUUGGGAGGAAGGGCAGUAAGUUAAUACCUUGCUGUUUUGACGUUACCAACAGAAUAAGCACCGGCUAACUUCGUG